rnacentral:misc_RNA from 1 species
UGGAGGCAUUGGUGAGAUUUAUGAUUAAAGACAAGAAAAAGAAUGAGUAAGUGAUAAUGAGAAUGGGAAUGGGAUAAGAUCUGCUUCUUCGAGAUGCGAAAUCCAUGGCCAGAAAGAGAGAGAGAGAGAGAGAGAGAAAGAAGGAGAUAUUAGCGGCGAAAUAGAAGGGGUAGAUUCUGAGAUGCAGGUGGUGGUGGUUUGGAG